AUGACUUCUGCUGCAACUUCCUCCAUGACCUCUCCGUCCCUUUCAUCCACCACCCUCGCCCUCGGGCAGCAUCAGUCCGGCACGGCCGGCACCACCAUCUCCACCUUCACCAGCUCCACCUCAUCGGGGCUCUUUGUGAACCCGCUGAUGGCCCAGAUCGUCACCGUCAAGCUCAACCGAGAUAACUAUCUCCUCUGGAAGACUCAAGUCAUCCCCAUCCUUCGCGGCCACCAAAUCUUGGGGUACGUCGAUGGAUCGCAUCCUACACCGGUGAUGCUCGUCCCAGAGACGGAGGCGGCCGGUGCUCCCAUGGUGGCCAACCCUGCGUACCUCCCGUGGUACACUGAGGAUCAGCUGAUCCUCUCCGCGCUCCUCUCCAUGCUGUCACCUGAGCCUGUUGCUGAACUUCAAGUCGAGGCGGCGCACAAGGCGCUGCUCUUCAAGUCGGGGGAGUCACUGACCGCGAGGAACCUGCACUUGGAGCUCGUCUACAACUACUCUGGCUUGAAGCAUUCAUACGAGGCUUUCACCACCUCCAUCAAUAUGAAUGGAGAGAUGCCGUUGGAUGAGCUCUACUCGCACAUGAUGGACUAUGAAACAGUCCGCGAGGCGUCCAACACCAGCUACCAGAUCACUGCAAACGCCACCACAUGCGUCAAUGGUGGAUCAAACCGCGGCGGCAGAGGCCGCAACAACAGCAGCCACGGUGGCUAUCCAAACAGGGGGCAGAGGAGGCGCUCCCCAAUAUGGUGCUCCUGGUGGUCAUCCAGGAGGUAA
rnacentral:rRNA from 1 species